UAGUGUUUGGUGUCUAUUCUCUGACCUCGUCGCUUCUCAUAAGGAAACUCAUCCAGCAGGGAGUGGGGAGCAACAAUACUAACUCCGGCCCAUAGGGGAAGGUAUAGACGCUGGGGUGGAGGCGGGGCUUUUUAAACGCUAUAUGUGUUACAUCUGCUCCUGCUGUCUCCCCUGACACUCCAUCCACAUCCAUUUCUAUGUCUUCCUAAUUGUUGUCACUCCCCCAGUGAUUCUCUCUCCGUCUCCUCCCUGUGUGUUUGAGUGCGUGUCUUUGAUUGUCUGAGUGGAGACAGGUGUGCCUGAGUCAGAGCAGAACCCCACCAGCUGCACCAAGUCCUGUAAUCAACCCUGCAUAUAUAAUCUCAGCUCUGUCACAUCCACUCUGCCAGAUUGUAGCGUCUGUUCAUUAUGCCUGUUCUGCCCUCAGGCCCCUGCCUCCUCAACCUUGUCUUGUCUGCUCCAUUCUCCCAACCUGAACCCACCAAGCUCCACACUUCACCUUCUGGAUCUCCGUCUGGCUCAGCUCUGAGCCACUCCCUGGACCUCACCUGGCUAAACUUAUAACCUUGCAGUCCUGAAAAUAAAAACUGUUUUACUUCGA